UCUUAUCAGCUCUGGGUGCAAUCCAGGCUGGAACCAAGUGAGAGGUUCCUGCUGCUGCUGGUGGGGGAAGUUUUUGGAGCAGGCAGGUCUUGUACCACGGCUCCUGGUGUGGAGCAGUAGGUGAUUCGUGCAGCAAAUGGGAAGGUGGACUCGCCCAGGGCCCCUCUUCGUGCCAGCCAGCUGCGAUCACACAGUGUAAGCGCGGCGCCCCUCGGAUACCGCUGGAGCAGACCCGCAGCCAGCACGACACAGGCCACAGCUCCUCUCCAACACACGACGCUUAUGCAGGUCCCAAAAGGAGGUGGUGUAUGCUGCCUAAUUUAAAGCAUUCAGUUUCUCCCUGAGCUACUCUUAAUCUGCUCUCUUGUUUCUGCUGCAAAAUGUUAACAGACCAAAAGGCACAUGGGACAAGAGGUACUUUAUCAGUGCAAUUAAAAAAAAUACCUGUGGCUAAAAUAAAUAGUUAAGAGACCGAGCUAUGCUUUCCAACUUCAUUAAAGCUUGAAGCGCCCCUGCCAGAGCUGGGGUGGUGAAUGAUUCAAAUUUGAUCAUUGUUUAAUGUUAAAUGUUAUCCCUGAAACUUGAUACUACUUAUAAAUGCUUAUGCUCAGAGUGUUAUAGUAACCAUAGCUUAGUCAAACAUAUUCACAUUUCUUCCUAAAUCACAAAAUUCACUAAGCGAACAAGGCUUGUAACGGUCAGUAACCACACAGACGCACAGCAGAAGAAAGUUUGUAUAUGCCAGACACCAGCCUGAUGGCAAUUUCCAAAAGGCUAAUUUAAUGGCAAUUGGAUUUUUCCUGCCCUACUGCACCAUUAGCUGACAACCUGCUUCUUCAUCACAGCUGCAAACAGUUCAGUUAGACACUUUUGACAUCUCCCACUUACAAAAGCUAUUUUCAGGAAGCUAUUAACAAAAAUGGAUUCUUCCUGGUCAAGCUCAGGGUGAGGAAAGCCUUUAGUCGGGGACGUCAAGGUUGCAGUAAUUGGGUGCCCAGCAAAUAAUGCAAUAAAAAGAAAAUCAAUUUUGAUCAAAUCAGAGUUCUCUGCGACUGGUAUCCUUACAUACAGGCAAUAGAGCAUCAGAUAAGG